rnacentral:rRNA from 1 species
GACGAACGCUGGCGGCGUGCCUAAUACAUGCAAGUCGAACGCUGAAGGACGGGCUUGCUCUUCUGCAUGAGUUGCGAACGGGUGAGUAACGCGUAGGUAACCUGCCUGGUAGCUGGGGAUAACUAUUGGAAACGAUAGCUAAUACCGCAUAAGAGUUGAUGUUGCAUGGCAUUUAUUUAAAAGGUGCAAUUGCUUCACUUCCAGAUGGAGCUUCGUUGUAUUGGCUAGUUGGUGGGGUAACGGCUUACCAAGGCGACGAUACAUAGCCGACCUGAGAGGGUGAUCGGCCACACUGGGACGGAGACACGGCCCAGACGCCUACAGGAAGCAGCAGUAGGGAAUCUUCGGCAAUGGGCGGAAAUCUGACCGAGCAGCGCCGCGUGAGUGAAGAGGGUUUUCGGAUCGGAAAGGUCGGUUGUAAGGGAAGAACGAGUGUGAGAGUGGAAAGUUCACACUGUGACGGUAUCUUACCAGAAAGGGACGGCUAACUACGUG